GGAAAUCAUAUAGUUCAAGAUGUUUUGAGUAACUAAAUGCUCUUUAGUAGACAAAAUCUCUCAAUUCAACUAUAAUAAAUAAGCAUCUACAUCCUUAGCUAUAAUACCACUGUAUCCUGGAACCAAAGUAAGAUGUUUUUCUUGUUCUUACAGGCCACUUAGUUGUUUUAAAAUCCUGAAUAUUUCCAUCAUUUAUAAUUUUUUGAGUGAUAGUUCUGACCACUUUUUUAUUACAGCUUGAAGCCAGUUUAAACCAACUAUCACAUAUUCUUCAAAUUUGCUUUUAAGUAGUGACUUUACAAGAGGCAACAAGUCUACACAGCAGCCAAGUGAGAUCUAUUGUUUUUCUUUCUGUAAACCAUUAAUACAGGCAGGCAAUCUACCUCAACUCCAAGAUCUUCUAUCCUCCCCAAAUAAGUUACAAGUUCACUUACACUUCUCCAGAAAGUUAAAGCUACACUCAAUCUCAAAUUCCUGCUGAACCAAACUUAGGCCAUUGUUUCAUGAUCCUGAGAAACCACAGGAAAAAACCCCACCGUAUUUAGAUGAUGGAUUUUCUGUGAAGAACCAGAAUCACUGUGGAGUUAACCAAAUAUCUUCAACUAUCCAUGGCUAUAAUUUUUCAUGCAGGUGGGCUGCACAAGCCAGUUCAUUUUAUUUGCCAUAUCACAGCCCUCACUUAUAGGGGACUAUUUUUUUCUGUAAUAAGGAUUUGGAUAAAGAUGUUGGACUUUUUUUUUUUUUU
rnacentral:lncRNA from 1 species